GACCCAGUGGUGUAAUGUUCAACACACCUGUACAAUUUAAUGGCUGCACGUAAGUCAUUCUGCAGGAGUUCCCGGUUCAACUCGGGGCUGGGUUG